CUAUAUCAUUCACUAACCACUUAGUCAUAACAAAUUAACAAGAUUACAAGAUUUCCUUCUUUUUGGGUUCAAGAACAGGAGGAUCAACAUCAAUCCCCAUGUUAGCUGCAGUGCCUGCUAUAAUUCUCAUUGCUGAUUCAAUUGUGGUGCAAUUCAAGUCCGGUAGCUUUUCAGCAGCUAUUGCACGACAUUGCUCAAUUGUGAUCUUACCCACUUUCUCUCUCUUUGGGUCUUUAGAACCUUUCUCCACGCCUAAUCACUCAAGACAACAAAUAACUACGUCAGAUCUUGAAAAUUGAAUGGUUAUAACUAUCCACAUUGAUCUUUUACCAUUACUAUUUUACAGUAACAACUAACAAGGUAAAUCAUUCUGAAAUUCUUUACCUCAUAGUGACUUGUUUCCUAGAGCAAAGUGCAUCAACACAAUGUUAAAGAAAUGUGAUAUAAUACUUGGUUUGGGCUCCCAAAAAAACAGCAACAACAAUAACAAAAGUGAUGCAGAAAGAAUCCAUUUUCAGAACAAAAUCAUAACUCAGAGUACAGGAAGAAGAUAAGUUUGGUUUCAUUUCUACAAGAGCUCCAUACACCCAUUACAAGUUUCAGUCAGAUUAAUAGAGAGUACUAGCUUUGGCAUCUCUUCUACUCCUCCAUGCAUUAUUUGAGGCUACAUGUUUUAACAAGUGUUCAACUUAGCAAGGAAUAUAUAUACUUCGAGAAUGAAUAAGCAUAUAUGUUUUUGAGGGCAAUGCAUGCUGGGAUAUGAAAGUACAUUUAUAUAUUCCUCAUCAUCAGAAAAGUUGAGAGUCACCCAUAACUAAUCACACCACAUGGGGAAACAAAGUAGAAAGAGUGUUGGGUAACCACUUAUGGAUCCAUGUGCAUCAGCACAUAAUCAUCAACAUAUGUUUUGAGCUUCAUAUAUAUGGUACAGGCGUUAUCCCCAAUUAUCCACCAAGCCAGACCUCAUACAACCAGCUCAUAGAUGGUAUACAAACAUCCAUAACCUACUCAAGCAUAACACUCCAAAACAAGAGUCAGGGCCUGUAUUAGCAGCCUUUAACAAACAAGGAGGAAAACACACUCAUGCUGCUAUCUAUUAAUGAAUAGCUGAACUUGAGCAUUUUCUAGGUCCACAAAGAAAUUCCCUAAUUUCCCACAUAUCUCAAAUGCAACUCAGACUUUUAUAAAACAUUCUUCAAUGCACAAUAAAUGAUUUGCAUGUACAAACACAUGAUGUAUAUGAAUUUUGCCAGAAAUUUGGACCCAUAUAACCAAGAAGAUAAUGAUAAGAAUAUCACCAUGUAUAUUGCGUGCAAGGCCACCAAAUCAAAUGAACUUGAUUGUUAGAUUUUUGAAGAGCCAUUCUUAAUUGCUCACUGGGCGUGUGUGUAUGUUGAUAAAAUUUAAAACAAGCAUAGACUC
rnacentral:misc_RNA from 1 species